rnacentral:rRNA from 1 species
UACGUAGGUGGCAAGCGUUAUCCGGAUUUACUGGGUGUAAAGGGCGAGUAGGCGGGAUUGCAAGUCAGACGUGAAAACUAUGGGCUCAACCGAUAGAGUGCAUUUGAAACUGCAGUUCUUGAGUGAUGGAGAGGCAGGCGGAAUUCCCGGUGUAGCGGUGGAAUGCGUAGAUAUCGGGAGGAACACCAGUGGCGAAGGCGGCCUGCUGGACAUUAACUGACGCUGAGGCGCGAAAGCGUGGGGAGCAAACAGG